ACCCACCAGGAACCAGGAUGAUUGAAUGAGC
rnacentral:piRNA from 1 species